UGGCUGCAGCCUCUAUAAACAACUGAUCUACAAGGCAUUAUUCCAUUGACAACUCUAGGCUUCAUUCUACAGAGAAUGAAGUAUUACCUGAAUUCCAUGUUGUGGCUGAAGCAAAAGAAGGGUACAUGGUGAGUGGCUGUAGGUUGGGGAAAGGGAAAUGGUGUAUCGCUGUAGGAUCAUCGAAAGUGCAGUCUUUGCUUCUGUCAUUGCAAAGCUCAUACCGACGCAAGAUCGAGGUCCCAAUCCAAAGGGAAUAAAUGCAGCUGCAUUAUGCUUGGUGGCAUUUGAGAUCCCUUCUGAGAAUCUCUCAGGUUUGAAGAGAUUGGCAUCAUCUCCCCAUAACUGAGGGUCAUGGUGAAGUGCCACGAUUGGGACAACCACAUGCAAAUCAGCUGGCAGGAUGAGCUUUCCCAAUUGAACUUCAUUCCCAACUUUUCUUACCAUGCUAUUUAUAGGAGGAUAUAAUCUUAAAGUUUCAUUAAUGAUCAUAGUCAUCUGUAUGCAGCAGAAGAGGAAUAAACAUAUCAAAUCUAUUCUGAUUUUCAAAAAUUAAAUCUACUAAAUGUUAAGUGAUGUGUCCAAGCAGAAUGAUUAGACUUGCUUACAGUCUUUAGUCUGCCAAUGCCUUCAGAAUGUGGAUUUUGGUUACCAAAGACCUCAAUCACCUCUCUUCUUGCUUUCUCCUGCCAAUCUGGAUUGAUUGCUAAAAGCAAGACUGCCCAUGCAAGUGCAGAAUUAGUAGUUUCCUGUCCAGUAAAGUAAAAUGUCUUGCAUUCAUCUACCAAAUCUUGUCCUGAUAGCCUGUUCUUCUUGUCAGCAUCAUGGUAAGCACUUAAAAGUAAUCCAAGAAAAUCAGUGCCAAAGCUGUUGGCUUCUCCAUUUAAUACUUCCUCUUCUCUUUUCUUAACUAUCUCCAUCACAGAAUUGUGUAUUCCUUUUACAAGUUUUUCUGAUUCAAUUUCAUCAGCAGUUUUACAGAAGUUACUGCAAAAGCAAAAAAAAAUUACCACCAACAUAUGAAGGCAAAAUAAAACAAAAAUCCACCUAGCUAUACAAGAGUAGUUUAACCAUUUGGGAAAAAGCGGCAUAAUAUGACUUCUAGUUAGUCUCCUUUCUCAUUAAAUCUGAAAUAACCUUAAGAGGAACUUACCUAAUGACAGGAAACUUAGCUUUAAACAGGUUUCUGUUUGUCAAGACAGACAACUUUAACAGCAUGUCAAAAAUCUUUUUCCCAUCUAAGUAACUGCUACCAAAAGCUGUUCUUGAUAUGACUUCUGAAGUCAACAACCUGAAGUCUUCAAACACAUCAAUUUCUUUGCCUUCAAAUUGUUUCCACCUUUCCAGCAUGGUCUCAACACUAGCAAUCACUGCUGGUGUCAUGCUCUGCCAAAACCAUCACCCACUCUUAUGAGUAACUUAUACUUUGCCAGGAUUUGGUGCUUCUCUAAUGCAUAAAAUUCACAAAAGAUGAUAUAACUAUGAAGUAUCUUACACCAACACAUCUAUAACAAAAAUAAUUGUAGUAUUUGAUCAGAAGUUUACUUUUAAGCUGUCCCCAUGAAAAGCAUAAUUGGCCAACUUCCUUUGCCUCGCCCAUUUCUCACCUUCGGAUGUCACAAGCCCAUCCCCUAGUAUCAUAAGAGCGAAUUCGUCUUCAUUCCUCUUCCUUUCUCUACUUGUCCUUUUUGGAAAAGCUCUUUCACUACUUUUCAACACCUCUUUGACAAGCUCAGGCUCUGUGAUAAACAGUUGAGCUGUAGUACCUCCCCAAGAAAGGUAGUUUUUCCCUACUUCCACAGAAACAAGAGAAGGUUAAAUUGUUCUUAGAAAACGGUCUUAAAACUAAAGGGGGGAAUUUAAUCUUACCAUAUGAGUUGAUCCGUGAAUAAACAGGAGGAUUGACUCUGGGAAAUAUAUCAUGUGAUAAACUAGCCAUAGGCUUGCUUAAUGCUUCCUGUUUCAUUUUUACGGUCUCUUUGUUGUUUCCAUGGAUGAAUUUGUAAGGAGGUCCUUUGAUUCCUUGCAAAUUCAUUGCAUACUGUAUCCGAAGUGGUGUCCACCAAUACUUGUGUAGGAUUUUGAUCAGAGCUAUGACCAGAUACAGGCACAGAGAGCCUGUAAGAAGGGCUGAUAGAUUUGCUGCCAUGGAAGUCAUUUGCAGAACCUGACAAGGAAAAUAGAUUUUCCGAUGAGUUCAUUCCCGGAGUAUCAGAUUUAUGACAUUUAAAAUCGGGUCACUUUUGCAUUUAGAAUUAUGGUCUAAUCUAUUGAUAUAUUCAAACAAUUUAUUUAAAGUGUAUAACAUAGGCAGCCAAACACCCUCAAUUUACCAUAAUUUGGUUAGUUGCCAAACAAUUUAUGAAAGGGAGAAUCCAUUUGCAAAAUAGGUGUAGGGAUUAAUUAAAUACACAGCUGUCAGAAAAGUAUGAGAUAAAAAUUUCAUGCAAAAGUCUAAAAAGGUACUUGCAAUAAAGAUCUCAAGAGUGAUGGGCACCCAACACUUGUGGUCAACCUACAAGUCUUGGGUACUAACCAUUAGAUCAUAUGGUGAUUGCAAGUGUUAAUUUAUAUUUUUCAUCUCGAGGUAUAUAGUGUUUGGUUCUUAUAAUGUGUAAGGUAAGUUGAAUGAUUUGAUUAGUUAAAUAAAGAAUCGAUAGUUCAAUGUUUGGUCAACCACUCAAUUUAGACUAGAACCAAUCACACUCAUUAAGUGAAGGUUCAAAUCUGUGAGACACCUUUAUUUAUGAACAAAAUUCUCAAAGUUGUUGGUAUUUGAAACUUUUAAAAAUGGUGGGGGAUUGUUGGUGUAAUUUCAAAAUAAAAGGUUCUCACAUAACGGAUAUUUAUUUUAGCUCAAAAGUUAUGUCAGAUAAUAAAAGAUUAUGUUAAGCUUAAAGGUUAUGUCACAGAAAGUACCAGUGUAACUAUUAGAUUGUAAGUAGGUUUUUCAUAUAAAUAGUUAUAUUUCUUAAUAAAGUGAUAAUUGGAAAACCAUCUCUGAAUCCAGAAAUUAUGAGACAAUUGAAAAACAUCACAGUUAAAAAGUUUAUAUAUGAAAAGUUAUUUUUUCAUAUUGUAGCUCAAAAAUUAUGUUUUAUGGAAUGAAUGAUUAUUCUCUCAUUAGAUGAUUUUUGAAACAAUACUUUUAUCUAAGGAUUAUGUUUUACAAAUUGCAAAGGUAUCUUUAAGAUAAAAAGGUGUCUUGAUGAAAAGGUUGUAACUUCGAAGAAGAGAUACUUGCAAGCCUAUUUAAAAGACUUACGGCUAACCAUUUUGAUACACCAAAACAAAUAAGACAAGUGUAGAAAAAUCAACAGAGAUAGAAGUGUUAUGUUUUGAAAAUAAAUAUAAACACUUAAGUUUUCAUCAUUUAUCAAAAAAAUCUAAAUUCUUUAUAAUCUACUUGCUACAGAAAGUAAGUUUUAAGUUUGAACAACUUUGCAAAUCUUUGGGUGUAUCUAGCGGUCUAUUCUUAUAAAAGUGUAAAAAUGAAGUUAGACGUUGACUUAAUUAUACCUCUAAGGUUAUUCAUAUUAUUUUCUUUUUGCAUAGCGAAUGAUGAGGGCGAAAUAAGGCUUAAAGAUAAUGUCUAUUAUGUCUUGAAGUCAAUUUUGUGUAUUCCUUAAAUUUCAUCAAAACCUUAUUUGCACCAACAAAGAUUGCGCAUCGGCUUCCAAGAGUUUUUCUUCUCCAAGUUCUCUUGUUGAGCAUGAGAAGAUCAAUGCUCAACUUAAGGCUAAUGAAGGUUGGGGCUAGGCUUUCAACUUGAAAUCUUAGCUUAGAGCCUUAGACCUAACUUGAAAGUGUCAUCGAGUCUAAAUUUUGAUUCUAAUCAGGCUCAAUAUAUCUAUAGGAAGUGUCCAGUAUAUACUUGUCGAGACUGAGAAGACAAUGGCUUUCAUUUCUUGUGAGAAGCUUCUACAUUACUAGGCAGAACAUGCCAUAAAUUUACAUUAGUUACAACCUAGAUUACCUUUGCCAAUGUCACAUCUUACAAGUUACAGAUAGGGAAGAUAAAGAUAUCAUAUUGCUGAUUCCUUGUAUAUGUAAUUUCUUUAUUAAAGUCAUUGAUCCUUGUUAAAAUCAAUCUGAGUUAUGUUUUCUUGGCUUACUUAACUUGAUAAGAGUGCUCAAGUAUGUCAAAAUUCUAGGAUUUGCCAAAGGGUCCGAAAACAGAAAGAAUGACACAAUUGAAUGGUGUAUAUAUGGAGGUGUGAUAAAAUGAAUUUGAAUUUCGAAAAUUUAUUUUAAAAAAAUCUGAAUUAUAAUUCAGUUAAAUCCGAAUUGAUAAAAAAUUUACAGACUUAAACUUCAAAUGAUUUUAAUUUGAAAGUUCCAACUUAAAGUAGUAAUAACCUAAAUUUAAUAUUAAAAAUGACAAAUUUUAUCAAUAUUCAUUUUAAUUUAAUAUGUAUAUGAAUUUAAAUUGAUUUGAACGUUGUCACCUGAACUCGAAAUGACUUGAUUGGAAACGACGCGGUUGCCAACUCUAAAAAAUAUUCACUUACAAAUCAGGAGGCAGGCCAGUAGCAUACUGUCUUGUUGCUGUGAUGUGGUUUCUGAUGAUUGGCUGGCGGACAAGGGACAGGUGAGGGAAUUUCCAAGGCCAUAUUACUGUCUACUUCUAAAAGAUAUUCACAUACAAAUCCAUGCGCAGACAGAGUUGAAACUUUUUUGUUUGGAAUAUUAUACUAAUGAUUGAAAUGCUAUCAAUAUAUUGCCUGGAAUUACGUAUUAAAUGCAGCUGGUUUUGUCGAGUAAAGGGUUUUAAGGAAAAAUACCAAAUUUAUCAUUAUAAGAUGAUUCAAUACUGAAUUGUGUUAGCUCAUGGAAUAUGACGGAGAAUAAGGCUAUGGCUUUUGUCAGCUCAUGAAGGAGUAAUAGCUGCAUUGGCUGUAUCCCCUGUGAAAAGGGCAGGUUUCUUCUGCCAGUCAUGAUCACAAGUUUGUCAAAUUGUGGAAGUGAUACGAUUGCUAGCAGAAUUCCCAAGUUUUAAUCAGCAACAAUUGUUGGUUCGUAGCUGUUCAGGUAGCUCAAAGGUGUCCAUUUUGUGGUUUGUCCCAAUGUAACUACCCUUGUCUGCUGUAUGCAUGCUAUGUAACCUUGUCUCGCUAAUGGUUAAUUUGGACAUUCCUGCUUAAGUUCAUUAACAUUUUUCACAAAAAAAAAAAAAAAGAAAACUGAAUUAUGUCACUACACUUUAAUUGUAUUGUAUUUUGUUAUCAUAAUUUUUAUUUCCAUUAAACUCUGUAAAUGAAAUAUUUUGUCUUUAUUUUUAUUCAAAAAUAACUAAAACAAAAAUAUUUAAAAUAAACGUAUACUGACAAAAUUUAAUGCAAUUGAAACACAAUUGCAAGAUUCAACGUUCAACCAUAAUAUUGUGAUAAAUUUGGUAUUCAUCUUAAGAUUUUUAUUCACCAUGCCAUGAGGUUAUUUGGUUCAUGAUAUUCACAAAAUUGCUACAAGAAUUUCAAAGCUGAGAAGCCUUAGAUUGUUUACUAGGAGCAGAGCAGGGAUAUAUCAGGCUUUAGUACUCAAAGGAAGAUAAUCUUGUUUCUUUGUUGCCAAUACAUGAAAUCACUAAUACUUAUAUCAUCAUACAUGGCUGCUAAAUACAGUUAAAUGGGAGAACAUAACUGGGAACUGGUUAUCAUCAGUUUUUAUUUGAUUAUAUAUUUUACCAUUUCGGAGAUUAACAGCUGAGUACUUUAAGCAUCAUUAGGCAGUGAAUGAAACAACAACUGAAUUCCAUGUUGUGGCCUAAGUGUGAGAAGAGCUAAGGGUGCGUGGACAUAGGCAGGGGAGAGGGCAAUGUUGUAGCGUUGCAGAAUCAUGAAGAUAGCCAUCUUUGUUUCUGUGAUCGCAAAGCUCAUGCCCACGCAAGAUCGAGGUCCCAUUCCAAAGGGAAUAAAUGCACCCGCAUUGUGUUUGGUAGCCUUGGCAAUCCCUUCAGCGAAUCUCUCUGGUUUGAAAAGAUGAACAUCAUCUCCCCAUAAUUCAGGGUCAUGGUGAAGUGCCAUGUUCGGGAUGCUGAACUCUAUAUUUGUAGGCAGCAUGAGCUUUCCCAAUUGAACUUCUCUUCCAACUCUCCUUGCGAUGCCAUUUACAGGAGGAUACAAUCGUAAAGUUUCAUUGAUGAUCAUGGUCAUCUGUUUACAGAUUAGAAGUAAAAGGUAUCAAAUUAUAAAUUCCCUGUUUAAUACCCUGAAUGCUCAAAACUAGUGCAUGCUAUUAAAGUGGUUAGAGCUUGAAAUUUGCUUACAGUUUUUAGUUUGGCAAUCCCUUCAGGAUGUGGAUCUUGAUUACCAAAUACCUCAAUCACCUCUCUUCUUGCUUUCUCUUGCCAAUCUGUAUGGAUUGCUAAAAGCAGGACUGUCCAUGCGAGCAAGGAAUUAGUUGUUUCUUGUCCAGCAAAGUAGAAUGUUUUACACUCAUCUACCAAAUCUUCAACGGAGAGCCUGUUUUUCUCGUCCAAGUCAUGAUAGGCAUUUAGAAGUAAUCCCAGAAAAUCACUGCCAAAGCUCUCAGCUUCUCCAGCCACUACUUUCUCUUCUCUUUGUUUAACAAUCUUCAUCACAGAAUCAUGUAUUUCUUUUGCAAGUUUCUCCGAUUCAAUUUCAUCAGCAUGUUUCCAGACGUAGCUGCAAAAGCAAACCAAAGUCUGCCUUAUAUAUGGAAAAAACUAGGAUAGAAAGAAAAAAUAUCCUCUCAGACCUACAGCUUUAUGCAUAAAAUAGAGCCUUCUGGUUAUUAGUCUCCAGAGUAAAGCUUAGAGGAGCUUACCUGAUGCCAGGUAUCCUGGCUUUAUAAAGAUUUCUGCUUGCGAUUACUGACAACUUCAUCAACGUCUCAAAAAUCUUCUCGCCCUCCAGGUAACUGCUACCAAAAGCUGUUCUGGAUAUCACUUCUGAAGUCAAUAAUCUAAAUUCCUGGAACACUUCGAUCUCCUUCCCUUCCUGGCCUUUCCACUUCUGUAGCAUUGUUUCAACGCUAGCAAUUACUGCUGGAGUCAUGUUCUGCCAAAACCAUCCUCCACUUUGUAAGUAUCACUACUGGAAGAUCACCAAAAUUUUAGUUUGCAAAUGUUCCAAGUACAAUAAAUAAUUCAAUCACCAAGCCUAUGACAGCAAAAACUUAUAGUACAGUGGUUUUCAUAGGAAGUUUUACUUUCAAGCUCUCCCCAUGAAAAGCAUAAUUGGCCAAUUUCCUUUGCCUUGCCCAUUUUUCUCUUACGGUCGUAGCAAGCCCGUCCCCCAGUAUCUUGCUAAGGAAAUAUGUAACUUUCCUCUUUGGAAAAGCUUUUUCACUAUUUUUCAGCACCUCUUUGAUGAGAUCUGGUUCUGUAAUUACCAGCAGAGCUCGAACUCCAUUCCAACUAAGAUAAAUUUUCCCUAAUCAAAGAACACAGAAAAAAAGAGAGUUAAAUCUCUUCCUGGAAGCAGAACUUAGAAAUCCUAGCGGAAAAUGACAUCAUGUCUCACCAUAUGUGUUGAUGCAGGAGUAAAUAUGAGGCAGCACUCUGGGAAAUAUAUCAUGUGUCAAGGCCAUAGGUUUGCUUGAUGCUUCCCUUAUACUUUCGACAACUGCUUUGUUGUUUCCAUGGAUAAACUCAUACGGAGGUCCUUUAAUUCCCUGUGACCUCAGUAUAUUCUGUAUCCGGUGGGGAAUCCACCAGUAGUUGUAGAAGGCCUUGAGCAGAGCUCGGAGGAAGUAAAGGAAGAAUGAACCUGCGACAAGGAUUAAAAGCUUUCCCAUGGAGUUCAUUUCUUUCUCUUAUCCACUACAUUUGAGGUGUUGUGGUUCUUUGCUUUUAUGCACGUUUAGGGCUGAAGGCAUUUUGCUUAUAUGUAAAAGCCGGCUUUUCAUUUGGUGCGAUUUAGAAUUGGUCAAAAGAACAAUCUAGUCCAUGUAAUCUCUAACUGUAUCCAAUUUAAUCCCGAUACUCAAAAUUAAAAUAAUUUAGUCCUUUAAUUUUAAAAAUUUAGUCCCUCUUUUUAAAAAAAUUUAAUUUUACCGUUAAAGAGGAUGAUGUCGAUGAUAACGUGACACAUUUUGAUGAUAUGGAGUUGAAAUGAUGGCGUGGCAUACCAUGUGGCAUCGACAUGAUGACGUGACAAUAUCACAUGGCAUCGACAUGAUAACAUGACAAUGUCACGUGAUACUAAUAUGAUGACGUGGUAAUGACAUGUUGACAUGUCAACUUUACGUGGUAGAUCAAAAAAAUUUUCAAAAUAAAAAAUUUUACCAUGUCAUAAAGAUUAAAUUGAAAAAAAAUAUAUAUAGUACAGAGACUAAAUUGAACAAAAUUAAGAUGAUGAAGGACUACAUUGAAAAAAAUAUUUGAAAAAUAUAAAUCUUUAAGUAGAUUAUUGAUAUACUUAUUAAUAAGCCAAAUAUUUUAGCGUAAAAGAUUUAUGGUGUUAAAAAAUAUAUAUAAAUAUUUUCUUACUUCAUUAUUUGAUUCUAGAAUGUAUACAUUAAUUUAUUUAUUUUUUACAAAAAUUAAGUUUGAAUUCUUCUUGUGUAAAAAAAAAUUUGAAAAAAUUUCAUACCUAAAGUCAAAUUUCGAUGAAUAACUUGCAUUAUGUUAUUACAAAAUAAUAUAAAAUGACUAAAUAAAAUUUUUUCUUCUAUUUAUAAUAGUAUAAAAAUUUGAAAUUUAUUUAACUUAGUUUUUAACGUGAAGUGAACUCAAAUUAGCAAAAUAUGUUGAUUUAGUAAAAAAAAUGAAGAACGAAGAUAUGGAGUUAGUGAUGAUUAUAAAAAUAAUUUCUUAUUCUAACUUACUUAAUUUGGACAUGACAAAUCUCUUAUUAUAACCAUAGAAUUUGAGCUCCACCUUUUUAAUUUUUUAUUUAUUUUUUAUUUCUUUGUUUUGUUUAAUAUUUCAAGUUAUAUUUUUUAAGUUGAAAUUUCCUAGAUUAAAGAUUAGGGGUGAGCAAAUGGGUGGAUUGAGUGGUUUAGUCCACCAUAUCUAAGGACCAAAUGGACCAAUCAUUUUUAAAAAAUCAAUCAAAAUCGACCAAAUAUAAUGGAAGGUUAAACCGACAAAAUAUAGAAUUGGUUUGGUUGGUUCGGUUUUGAACCAAUAGACCAAAAUUUUAUCACAUUUUUUUUUUACAAAUUAUAAUAUUAAAACUUAUAAACUUCAUUCAUAAUUAUAUAUAUAUGAAAUUAAUGAUAAAACUUAUAUGUUAUAAUAUUUUAUAUCAAAGUUUGUAUAAAUAAUAACAAUUAUGAACUAUAUGUUAUAAAAUCUAAGGUGAUAGCUAAUAAGCUUAUUAAGUGUAAUCGUAUAAAUAAAGUUUAUUAUAAGUUAUAGUAAUGCUUAUGUAUAAAUUAAAUAUAUAUAAUAUAUUACAUUAUUAUAUAUAUAAUUAAUGAUACAAAUUUUAUGUUAAAAUAUUUUAUAUAAUCAUAUAAAUAAAGUAUAUUAUAAGUUAUAGUAAUACUUAUGUAUAAAUUAAAUAUAUGUAUAUAUAAUAUAUGACUUUAUUAUAUAUAUGCAUAUACAAAAUUAAUGACAUAAUUUAUAUGUUAUAAUGUUUUAUAUGAAAGUUUGUAUAAAUAAUAACUAAUUAUAAACAAUAGGUUAUAAAAUCUAAGGUGAUAACUAAUAAAGUUAUUAAAUAUAAUCAUACAAAUAAAGUUUAUUAUAAAUUAUAGUAAUGCUUAUGUAUAUGUAUAUAUAAUAUAUCUAUACAGUUAUCUAUAUAGUUAUAUAUAUAUAUAUAUAUAUAUAUAUAUAUAUAUUCAUACCACUUUAUAUUACGACAUAUUACUAAGGUUUAAUAAUUAUAAUAUAUUAAUAUGUAGGAUAUUUACUAUUAUAUAUUAUAAUAUUAACAUAUAACUUAUAUUAUUUAAAAUAUAUAACUUGUAAUUUCAUAUUCAUAUAAAUUUAUAAAUAAAUAUAUAUGACUAAUAUUAAAUUACUAUGAUUAUGAUUUGUAUACGUACAUAUAAUACUCUAAUAUAUUUUAAAUAUAUUAUUAAUUAAGUUUACUAUCAAUUUUUUUAAUAUAUAAAAAAUAUAUAUGACUAUAUAUACAAAUAUAUAAAAAAUUAAUUUGGUUUUUUGUGUGGAUUGGUUUAAAAAUUUUAAAAUCGAGAACCGACCAAAUAACCAAUUGGACCAAAUAUUUUGGACCAAUUGAUUCAAUGGACUAAUUAGACUGAAUUAUUUUACUCAAAUCGCAUUUGGUUUGGAUAGGUAAUUGGUCUGGAUUGGUUUUGCUAACCUUUAUUAAAGAAUAUAUUUAUUGUUGAUAAAGUUCAAUAUAAUUGUAAAUAUUUGUACCAUUUUAUUUUAUUAAUAAAUUUUUUGUAGAUCCAAAUUAAUAAUUUAAAUAUAAAUUUAGCAUAAUUUGAUUGUGGUAUUUGAACUUAAAUAAAAUUGUUUUAUAAGAAAUUUUAAAUAAAUUUAAAUAAAAGGUACAUUAGGUAAGAGUUGAAUAAUUUCAUAAAAAAUGGGUAUUUAUAAAUUGUAAAAGUUGUAACUAAAUCAAUGUAUUUUGUUAAUUUGAGUUUAGCUUAAGUUAAAAACUAAGUUAAAUAAAUUUCAAAUUUUUAUACUAUUAUAACUAGAAAAAAAAAGAAUUUAUUUAGUUAUUUUAUAUUAUUUUAUUAUAAUAUAAUGUAAGUUAUUCAUCUAAAUUUGACUUUAGGUAUGAAAUUAUUUUGAAAUUUUUUUUUAGAAGGAGAAUUCUAACUUAAUUUUUGUAAAAAAUAUAAAUUAAUAUAAAUAUUCUAUAAUCAAAUAAUCAAGAAAGAAAAUAUUUAUAUAUACUUUUUAAUACCAUAAAUCUGUUACACUUAAAUAUUUAGCUUAUUAAUAAAUAUAUCAAUAAUCUACUUAGAUAUUUGUAUUGUUUAAAUAUUUUUUUUCAAUUUAGUCCCUCAACAUCUUAAUUUGUUCAAUUUAAUACCUAUACUAUAUAUUUUUGUUCAAUUUAAUCCCUAUAACGUGGCAAGAUUUUUAUUUUAAAAUUUUUUUUGAUCUGUCACGUGGCACAAGCAUGCUAACAUAUCAAUGCCAUGUCAUCAUAUUAGUGCCACGAGGCAUUGCCACAUCAUUACGUCGGCGCCACGUGGUAUUCCACAUCAUCAUCUCAAUGCAUCAGCACUAAAAUGUGCCGAAAUGUGCCAUAUUAGUGCUGAUGUCAUCUUUUUUAAUGACAAAAUUAGAUACCGUUAGGGAGAGAGAUUAAAUUAAAGAAAUUUUCAAAAUUAAAGAACUAAAUUGCUUCGAUUUUAAGUAUAGAAAUCAAAUUGAACAAAAUUGAAAAGUACAAGAAUUGAAUAGGUCUUUUGACUAUUUGAAAUUAUUGCCUUCAAAAAAUACACCCACUUUUUAAGUAAAGGGCUUAACAAUUCAACUACAAAUAUUCAUGGCAUGCUAUACAUAAUGCCUAAUGCCUCACUCUUAUGACUCUUAUUGAAUAAUUGUGACGCAAUAAUAGUAGGUGAUGUACUCUCUUAUCUCGCAAGUCAUGUUAUGCCAAUCACUAAACUGCAGAUUAUAUUGGAUUCAACUUAGCAACAAUUUUGGCAUUUAUAUGAUCAAUGAAAUAAAUAAAGAUUAAUUAUAAUUAACAAUUAGGGUUCUUCAUCCUAUGAACAGGAAAAAAAAGGUGUAAUAAUCACUUCAUAUCAUGCAUUAAUAUGAACAAUAAUGAACUCAACUUGAUAAAAUUUGGUUUUAAUAGAUGUUAAGCUUUGAUUUAGAGUUCACUGGGUAAUAGGUGGUAUAUACAUUAGGACUUUCUGUUUUUUUUUCUUUUUUUUGGGGGGGGACACCUUGUAUUAAUUCAUUCAAAUUUUUUUUGAAAGGUAUUAAGUCAUUCAAUUUUAACUACUCAUUGUAAGAAUUCAAAAGGGAUAAGGACCUCCAAGUGGGGCUUUUUACUUUAGUCAAAGACUGCUGCAAAACGUGAUAAGAAUUUUACAUGUUCAAGACUAUUUUCCAUAGGUUUAUUUUAGUCAAAGACUCUUGCACAUCACGUUAUGUAACAUUUCAAAGAAAUAAAUGGUGAGAGUCAACAAGAUUGUGUUAUAUAUAGUCCUCCUGUCCCAUUUUAUUUUUUCUUAUUUGAUUUUCAUGAAAUUUUAAAAAAAUUAAUUUUGAUGUAUUUUAUAUUAAAAUUUCAAAUUGUAUUAUACACGUUAUGUUCCAUGGAUUUUAAUCUCAAAAAAUUUUAAAAAAAUUAUGAAAAAUAAAUUGAAAAUGUAUCUUGUAGUACGUGUAUAACUUUGUCCUAUAAUACAAGCUGUAGUAGAUAUAUAGCCAAAAUCAUUAUCAGUACUCAAUUAUAAAAUCAAUUAAAUUGUCAUAAUCACCCCUUUGCACGGGAAAAGAAAAACGCAAGGAAAGAAGAAAAAAAGUUGCAAUAACCCUGGGAAAAUGUCCUUCAUCAGAUAUAUUAUAUACUUUGCAUUAACAUAAUCUUCUAGUCAUCAUCAUCAAUCAACAUCUGGCUUUUGUUUAUUUUUGGACUGUUUGCAGCUUGCUCUUAUCUUUUCUCACGGUCGGUGGAGCUGGCAAAGCAGACAUUGGCCAGCUACAAUAUGUUAUAUUAGAAGCUUCAGUAUUACUAGGCACUAGACAGUACAUCCUUAUUUCUCACGUCUUACAACUGAUUGGAAGGAUAAAAAACUAAAACCCACCUAAUUUCUCUUGUUUUAUAUUAAAAUGAUUGAUCCUUGUUAAAAAUCAAUCUGAAUUAUCUUUUCUUGUUUUACUCGUUGACCAGAGAUACGCUUACAAAUCAAGUGUGCCUAAUCCUAGAUUUUACUGAAGGGAAGCAAAACAGCAACAAAUGACAUUGAUUAAUGUUAAAUGGCCUAUCUAUAUCUCUUUGUCCAAAUACGCAGCUGCUGCACACUGGCUUCGGCCUUGAUUUGUAAUGAUUGCCUGGACACCUGAGGAAAUUUCAAGGCCUUUGUGCUCUCUAGUUCUUAAAAAAAUUGACCUAGAACGUCCAUAUUCAGACAUUGCAGAAACUUUUGUGCUUGGAAGUUAAUUAUACUCAGGAGAGAUUGAACUGAUAUCAAUAAUAUAUUGUCUGGAUUUAUGUGUUAAAUGCUGCUGAUGUUUUCGGUCAGGAGAGAGCUAGAGCAUUUUCAAAGGGGAGGUCAAACAGAAAGAGAUAUUAAAUAGUUAAAGAGAAUUUUAUAUAUAAUUCAAUUAUUACUUAUCUAAAAAAUUAAAUAAAAUUUAGAAAAUAUUGAACAUAUAAAAAAAUGCAUAUUAGCAGUAAUAGUAGUGUCAUUUAUAUAUAUGACUGAAUGAAACUAUAAAAAAAAUUCUCUUUUACUCUUUAUGCACAAGAGUGGAAAAGAAAAUAAUUUUUCAAACUUAAAUGAAUUGCCUCUUAACUUUGUGUGUCUUAACUCUCAUUUUAUUUUCUAUUUACUUCUUAAAUUGCUAAUUAACAUAUUAAGUUAUUAGAUUAAACUAUUAAAAUAUAAUAUGUUUGUCGUAACGUGCGGGUCCGAGAACCCGUCCGCCAGACGCUGGCGAAAAUAAAUCGGUUUAGGAGUCGCCACCAAUAUUUUUUUUUAUCUAGAUGUGAUUGGUCACCUAUUAACCAGAUUCUAAUCGACAAAGUCCUAAAUUAAUUUUAGGUCCGUCGAAAGAACGAGAACUGAUCUACGUUUUUUAGAGAUAGGUUCGGGAGUGCGGUUACGCACGGAGAAUGGUUAGCACCUCCGUGGCACCCGUUCCACGAACGGUACCAUUUAAUCUUAAGUUAUCCUAUUAUAGCCUACUUUUGAUUUAUUCCCUACUUAUUAACUAAAUUUUUAUUAAACUGACUGCCUGAAUCUUUUAUUUGGUUUUACAUAUGCACGUGAUGCAAGCGUAAAAUGAUGUCAUGACUCGUUUAUUUUAAAUAAUGGGAUCAGUAAUCUUUUAUUGAAAAAUUAUUUGAAGACCAUCCCAACGCUUUGGUGAAGUCUUGAAAUUCUCCUCACCUAGAGAUAUCCUGGGAAGAACUCAUCUUUACAAGCUCUUCGGGGAAAUCCCAUCAUCGGAAUUUUCGCACCAUUUGCAAGAUAAAUGUGGCGUGCUAUGACAGGAUAAAGUGAUGAUGUCUACAUGCACGCGUUUAUUGACUUAAGCGGUUCAUAAUUCAUCCAAUUAUGUGUUUAAUAAUUUAUCACCUUAUUUAUAUAUUUAUUUUGUCAUUUUUUUUCAUGGAUUAUUUAUUUAUUUUAUUAUUAUUAUUAUUUUUUGUUUUUAUUUUCUAUUUAGAUCCAUAUCUUUUAAUUAACAUUGUUGAUUAACAUUUAACUUGAUUAUAUAACUUAUCAAAUAAACAAUUAAUUAAUUUUUUCAAACGAUUAAAUUAACUUUAUUUAGUAAUAUUUAUUUAAGCUAAUUAACUAAUUUAAGUUUGGAUGCAACAUUAUGUAAAUUUAUUUUUUUUUUAACAAUGACUAUUUGACUUAAUAGGUAUUGGAGUUUAGAGUUCGGAUUUAUCCCGACGCUUCAGUGAAAAUCCGUCUCAAACUUCGCACAAAAAAAAAAUCCACUUAAAAAAAGCAACUCUUUGCCUUUCUUAGGUGGAGUUUCUCAAACAAUUAUCUUAUUUUUCUUAUAAUUUUUAUAUUCGUAUCAUGUUACUGUUUUUUUGUUUUUUUUAUUUAUAUAUAUAUAUAUAUAUAUAUAUAUUAUAUUUACAAGUAUCUAAAUAUGAAUAUUUCUUUCUUUUUUUUUAUUCCUCUCAUUUGUUUAUUAUCAUUACUAUUUUUAACAUAAACUAAACCUAUGAUUAGUUUUCUUAGUAUUUAUUUUAUGUAUAUAUGUAUAUAUGUUCUUCUAAACUAUGUAUCUUUACUAUUUUUUUUAUUAUGACUAUCAUUGUUUUUUUAUUUUUUUGUUAUUUCUAUUCUUAUUCAUUUAUUGAUUUUUUUAGACCAAACCUAAGAACUCUCAUAAAUAUGAAUAUUGAUCCCAAUAUAUAUAUAUAUACAUAUUGUUUUUUUAUUUUUUUGUUAUUUCUAUUCUUAUUCAUUUAUUGAUUUUUUAGACCAAACCUAAGAACUCUCAUAAAUAUGAAUAUUGAUCCCAAUAUAUAUAUAUAUACUAUUACAACCAUUAUCAUCUCUUUUUAUUAUUUUUUUUGUUUGAAUAUUUGUUUUUAUUUAUUUUUUUAUCAAAUAUUUACUCAUAUUUUCAUUUACCACUUUAUAUUUUAUUGUUAUUUUUCUACUUUAAAAUAUCAUAUAAUCUCUACAUAAUAUCUUUUUUAUCUUAAUUAAAUUAUUCUUAUGCUCAUAAUAAUAUGUUUUAAACAUAAACAAUUGAGUCACCACAAUAAAUAAAAAAAAUAUUAUAGUAAAAAAGCAUGCAAGUUAGAUCUUACCUUAUGUAGAUUUAGAUUAGCUCAAAAAGAAUAGAAUUAUGUGGGCCAAGGCAAGCCACGUACAACAACUUGCUCUCCAAAAAAUGCCGUGAAGAGUCCCUUCUUGUUACAAAUCUCUACCUCAUUUCUCCUUUUUUUUUUUUCUUUCUUUCUCUCCCUUAUUUCCUUCUUCCUUUCCUUUCUCUCUCCCCGUCGACUUCUUCUUUCUUUUUCUUUUUUUUUCUUUUUUUUUUCUUCUCUUCCUCUCCUUUCCUUUCUCUCUCCCCGCUGGCUUCUUCUUUCUUUUUCCUCUUUCUUUCUCCUUCUCUUUCUCUCUUUUCUCCCUGCCGGCGUCACACCCUUCUCCUCUUCUCUCUUCCUCUUCUCUCUAUCGUCUUCUUCCUUUUUUUUUUUGCUCUAUUUUUUGUGUUUGAUUGUGGUUCUUCGGCUGCUAGAGACUUUUUGGUUUUUUGAAAACGUUUUUUUAUAUUGUUUUUUGGCUUUUUUUGGUUCUUCCUCUCUGAUUUUUUUUUAUUUUCCCACUUCCCCCGUUUUGCAGGUUGUCCAUCUUUUGAGGUCAGGUUGUCCAAAAAUUUGGACAACUCGGUAAUGGGGUUCUACACCAAAAAGUUGAUAGUCAAAACCCCCAUCAUUUAAGGUGGUUCCUUCUCUUUUUCUUUUUUAAUUAUUUUAUUUUAUACUUUAUUUUAUUAUAAUUUUUUAUUUUUUUGAGGUAUCUACUUAUGAUAGAUUAUUAGAUUGGACGGUUAAGAUAUAAUAUGUUAUGAGAAGCUUAGAUUUAUAUUAAAAUUUAAUAGAUUUGAAUUAGUAGAUUCACUUUUAUUUUUUUGUAAAUUUGAUAGGCUUAACAUAUUAGUUUAAAAUUUAUUUAUUGGGUUUAACUAGCAAUAUGGUAACCAUAAUAACUCUAAUUUUGCCAAACAGUAUGAAAAAUAAAACUAAUUAUUAAAUUAAAAAUUAUUUUGAGAGCUAUUAAAAAUAAAUAUAAUAAAUAAAUAUGUAUUGAAAAAAUAUAAUUAUUUCAUUCUAUCAAUUUGUAUGUAUAAUCUUAUUACUUAAAAUUUGUAACAUACGUACUAAAAUGUAUUGGUUAUUUUGAAUAAAAAAUAAUAUAUUGAUGAAAUUUUAAGUCACAAUACAAUACUGCAACGUAUAUUUAAAAAUUAUAUAAUAAUUUAUUUAUUUUUAAAAAUUAAAAUCAUAAAAAAUAAUAUCUAGAUAAUAGAAAAAAAAACAUGAAAAGUAGAAAAUAAAAUCCAUAUAUAAUAUAAUAAAAGAAAAAAAAUAUGAUUGUUGGUACGUUAAAAUUUGUGAAAGAAAAUUUAUAAAGAUUUAAAAUAUAUGAGAAGAACUAGGUUUCCCAGGUGAACGCUGCAUCAGGAGCAGGGAUAUCAUUCCGCAGUAGGGCAGUACCAGUAUACGUUUGUGAUUUAAGCUUUGAACCACUUUAAACUGAAAGGCUCUGACAGCAUAUCAAGAACCACCCGUUUUGGAUUGAGAAAUAAGGAUCCAAAAAUAGUUACCAUACAUUUAACAACUAUUAUCACAUCGCUGAUAAUUAAAUGCUAUAGUACAUUGAAUACCGUUACUGAAGACUAUUUAACAUUUUACCAUCUUGGACACUAAUAGCUGCACACUCCAGAAUAAGCUAUACUAACCUAGAAGCAGCUAGUCUUAUUAAGAACUUUAGGCACCACUCUGUAGUGAAUGAAGCAUUACUUGAAUUCCAUGUUGUGGCUGAAGCUUAAGUAUAGUAAAUGGAGAGUGAACAUAGGCUGGGGAGAGAGUAAAGGUGUAACGUUGUAGAAUCAUUGAGAGAGCAGUCUUUGUUUCGGUGGUUGCAAAGCUCAUACCCACGCAAGAUCGAGGUCCCAAUGAAAAAGGAAUGAAUGCAGCCGCAUUGUAUUUGGUAGCUUUGGCAGUCCCUUCUGCGAGCUUAUCUGGUUUGAAAAGAUUAAAUAGAUUGAUUAUAUUAUCAAUUGAAAAAAAAAUAUUAGAAAAAUUUGAUUAUAAAAAUUUAAUUAAAAAUUUUGCAUAUCAAAAAGUUAGAAGAAUAAAAUUUUAAUAAUUUUUUUUAAUUUCAAUAAAAAAACCUCAUUUGAUUAUUUUGCUUUAAAUUUUUGAACUUAUUGAGCCGCCUUUGGCCAUAUCAUUUUCAUAAUUCGUCAAGUUACUCUAUCAAGAUACAUUCCCAAUCCCCUAUGCUUUACAUCAUUUCUUUCAACCCAAAGAAACUAAGAAAUUACAUAUUAAAUGUAGCUGGUUUUGUCCAUACUGGUUAUCAGCGGAGUAAAGGGUUUUAAGGAAAAAUACCAAUUUAUCAUUAUAAGGUGAUUCAAUACUGAAUUGUGUCAGCUCAUGGAAUAUGACGGAAAAUAAGGCUAUGGCUUUUGUCAGCUCAUGAAGGAGUAAUAGCUACAUUGGCUGUAUCACCUGUGAAAAGGGCUGGUUUCUUCUGCCAGGCAUGAUCACAAGUUUGUCAAAUUGUGGAAGUGAUACGAUUGCUAGCAGAAUUCCCAAGUUUUAAUCCACAACAAUUGUUGGUUUGUAGCUGUUCAGCUUGCUUAAAGGUGUCCAUUUUGUGGUUUGUCCCAAUGCUCAAAGAUUUUUAUUCACCAUGCCAUGAGGUUAUUUGGUUCAUGAUCUUCACAAAAUGACUACAGGAAUUUAGAAGCUGAGAAGCCUUAGAUUGUUUACUAGGAGCGGAGCUGGGAUAUACCAGGGUUUAGUACUCAAAAGAAGAUAAUCUUGUUUCUUUGUUGCCAAUACAUGAAACCCCUAAUACUUGUAUCAUCAGAAAUGGCCGGUAAAUACAGUUAAAUGGAAGAAAAUAAUCAGAAACUGGUUAUCAUUAGUUUGUAAGAUUUCUUAAAAAAAACUGUACAAAUUUCCAGAAAUCAAAAGAGCAAAAUGAUGAACAAAAACAGAGUUGAGAGAAGAAACAAGUCUGUAUAUGGAUCAAAAUUGAUGAAAUAACGGCUGCUCAGAUGAAAGAGAAAGAAGGCCGUUGGACUACACAAACAAAGAGAGAACGAAAACGACGCGAUUGAAGGAAAGAAACAAACAUUGAACAAACGACACAACAAGUCGUCGUAUGCUCCUGUAAACAGAACAGACAAGAAACGACAGCCAAGGACACCGUUUAAGCACCCCCAACAAGCAAAUCAUAAAACGACACAGGUGACCCCCGUUUCACAAACUCAAAUCGAUGAAGGCAUAUGCGGCACCACUUUGCACAGCCCUGAACCCUUCUUCAACUUAUUUAAAUUCCAACUGCUUCCCGCCAUUAGUUAUUUAUAAUUAGUUAUUAUUUAUAAGUUUUUGCCAGUUCUGAUCAGGCGGGCUGGUCAAAAUUGUAAAGUAGUUGUAAAUACUUGCAAAGAUACCAUUGUUAGAGGUCUGGUUAUAUGUCAUGGCGCAUAUUUGAGAAUGGAGUUCAUGCUGAUUAAUCGUGUGCAAACUGUGAUGUCCACAUUUAUUGGAUUUUGAGAGGGCUAUGAACUCGACUGAAUGGCUUCUGUGUUCAGUAUAUAAACUGAAACAGGGGACUGUACUCCCCAACAAACUUGCUGGAAAUAAUUUUAUAGUUGCUUAACAGGGGAGAUCACCGUGAAAGCCUGUGCUGUUUAUACCAUUUAGUUUAGUUUUAGUAUGUGGUAAUCUUGAUGCUCCUUCUGCCUAAUGAGCAAGCCAGAGCUGGUUCCCGGGUUCACCUAGUCCUGUACUGUGUAUAAAGAGAAUUUUGAAUAUAAAUCAAUAGUAUGCCAUAAUUUAGUAUGAUUUCUUACCAUUUUAUUUAAUUUUUUCAGGGUAAAUUUAUAACUAAUGUCAAUCUUUACCAAUAAUGGAGCCAAGGUUUAUGCUCAAUCUGGGUAAAGUUAUUUCUCCUUCUGCAAGUCUCUCUGGUUUGAAAACAUGAACAUCUUCAACCAUAUCUCAGGGUCAUGGUGAAGUGCUGGAGUUGAAAUGAACAAUUCAGUAUUUUUCUUCUUGGAGAAUUUUGUUACAGAAAAAAAGAUGCCUGGACAAUCAUACGGAUCUCUAAUCAAGAUCUACAACAAUAUCAGAAUAUAAGAGGAAAUAGUACUCAGAGGAGCACCAUCUUCAUACUUGAUUGCUUAAACAUUUUGUUCCAAUAUCAUCAUUUACUAUUACAUGGAUAGAAACAAGGACAAAUUAAUCAACAUCACUGACUGGGGUGAGUUACUGGCUGCGGCCUCUGUAAGCAACUGAUCUACAAGGCAUUAUUCCAUUGACAACUCUAGGCUUCAUUCUACAGAGAAUGAAGUAUUACCUGAAUUCCAUGUUGUGGCUGAAGCAAAGGAAGGUAAUAUGGUGAGUGGCUGUAGGCUGGGCAAAGGGAAAUGGUGUAUCGCUGUAGAAUCAUGGAAAGAGCAAUCUUUGUUUCUGUAAUUGCAAAGCUCAUACCGACACAAGAUCGAGGUCCCAAUCCAAAGGGAACAUAUGCAGCUGCAUUAUGUUUGGUGGCAUUCGCGAUCCCUUCUGCGAAUCUCUCAGGUUUGAAUAGAUUGACAUCAUCUCCCCAUAACUGAGGGUCAUGGUGAAGUGCCAUGAUUGGGACAACCAAAUGUAAAUCAGCUGGCAGGAUGAGCUUUCCCAAUUGAACUUCUCGUCCAACUCUCCUUACGAUGCGAUUUAAAGGAGGAUACAACCGUAAAGUUUCAUUGAUGAUCAUGGUCAUCUGUUUACAGAUUAGAAAUCAAAG
rnacentral:lncRNA from 1 species